rnacentral:misc_RNA from 1 species
GAAAUGCGAUAAGUAAUGUGAAUUGCAGAAUUCCGUGAAUCAUCGAAUCUUUGAACGCACAUUGCGCCCUCUGGUAUUCCGGGGGGCAUGCCUGUUCGAGCGUCAUUGCAACCCCUCAAGCUCGGCUUGUGUGUUGGGCCACCGUCCCCGCGUGUGUGGACGGGCCUCAAAGGCAGUGGCGGCGCCGAGAUACCGGUGUCUGAGUGUAUGGGCUUCCGUCAGCACUCGUAGGACCCGAUCGGCCCCGGUCGUGACUAUUUUCAUCUUCUAGUUUUGACCUCGGAUCAGGUAGGAAUACCCGCUGAACUUAA